rnacentral:rRNA from 1 species
AUGGAGGAGAAAAGAAAAAUGGCGGGUUUGUUCUGGCACAUCGCCGCCGCUCUGCUUUUCCUCGUCACGGCCGCUUCGACUGCCGGCGCUUCCACUUAUUACGCCUCGGAUCCCAACCUCGGAUCCGCCCGCGUCGUCUUCCAGUUAAAUCAUGGUGACAUUGAAUUCGGCUUCUUUCCUCAUGUUGCACCUAAGACAGUUGAACACAUUUUUAAACUUGUGCAGCUUGGAUGCUAUAAUACAAAUCACUUCUUCCGGGUUGACAAGGGUUUCGUUGCGCAAGUUGCCGAUGUCAUGGGAGGUAGAAAAGCCCCUAUGAAUAAAGAGCAGGAACAACAGGCAGAGAAAUCAAUUGUUGGUGAAUUUAGUACUGUCAAGCAUGUCAGAGGAAUUCUCUCAAUGGGAAGGUAUUCUGAUCCAGACAGUGCCUCCUCUUCCUUUUCUAUCCUCCUUGGUGAUGCUCCCCACCUUGAUGGCCAGUAUGCUGUAUUUGGGAGGGUGACUAAGGGUGACGAUACAUUAAGAAAACUAGAGCACCUGCCAACCCAUAAAGAAGGCAUUUUUGUAAUGCCAAUUGAGCGCAUUGAGAUUCUGUCGACAUACUAUUAUGAUAUUGAUGCAGAGAGUUGUGAAGCAGAGAAGUCUAUUCUUAAGAGGAGACUUUCUGAAUCAGCAUCAGAAGUUGAGAGAUGGAGACGAAAAUGCUUCGCAUGA